rnacentral:rRNA from 1 species
GACGAAGGAUGCAAGCGUUAUCCGGAUUCAUUGGGUUUAAAGGGAGCGUAGGCGGAUUGGUAAGUCAGUGGUGAAAUCUUUGGGCUUAACCCAGAAACUGCCAUUGAUACUUCUGAUCUAGAGUACAGUUGCCGUUGGCGGAAUAUGACAUGUAGUGGUGAAAUACUUAGAUAUGUCAUAGAACACCGACUGCGAAGGCAGCUAACGAAGCUGUAACUGACGCUGAGGCUCGAAAGUGCGGGGAUCAAACAGG